rnacentral:rRNA from 1 species
UACGUAGGGUGCAAGCGUUGUCCGGAAUUAUUGGGCGAAAGAGCUCGUAGACGGUUUGUCGCGUCUGCUGUGAAAACGCGAGGCUCAACCUCGCGCCUGCAGUGGGUACGGGCAGACUAGAGUGCGGUAGGGGAGAUUGGAAUUCCUGGUGUAGCGGUGGAAUGCGCAGAUAUCAGGAGGAACACCGAUGGCGAAGGCAGAUCUCUGGGCCGUAACUGACGCUGAGGAGCGAAAGCGUGGGGAGCGAACAGG